UGCCGAAAUGAUGUAGUGGGGCACUUCCGGAAGGUGUCAUCUAAAACAGGAGAACGCUAGAUCGGAGACGGUCAUGCGCGAAUGACGUCAUAUGCGGAUUGUGCGUUAGGUUUAGGAAAUGGCGUGUGUUUGUAUUACAUUGAAUGGAAUAGACGUAAACAAUCCGGUAUGUCUUCGGAAGAGGAAUUUAAGCUGAUGUAUGGUAUGAUUUUCUCCAUAAAGUCAUUUGUCAACAGAAUUUCACCAACAGAUGU